CAUGUUUACAUGGCCUUUGGCGUUGGCGAAUACCUUGGCGAAUAGUGGUGGGUAAGACUGUGCCAGCAGCGCGUUUAACCCCAGCGCCACAAGUGGUGAUCGGUUUAUGGGCCUAAAGCUUCCGUAGCUGGCCAAAAAAGUCUCUUGUGAAAUCGGGACGCUUAACGUACCGGACUGCAGGAGAUACUAUUUGGCUUGGAACUGGGAGGAGCAAGAGGAAUUUGGGGGAAGCGGUAAAUGUUAUAUUCCCCGGAGGACCACCGAUGGCGAAGGCAUCUUGCUAGAACAGAUUCGACAGUCAGGGAUGAAAGCUAGGGGAGCAAACCGGAUUAGAUACCCGAGUAGUCCUAGCGUUAAACGCUGUGAGUUAGGUGUUGCGCAUUCUUAGGGAAUGCGCAGUAUCGUAGUGAAGACGUUAAACUCACCGCCUGGGAAGUAUGGUCGCAAGACUGAAACUUAAAGGAAUUGGCGGGGGAGCACUACAAGGGGUGCGGCGUGCGGUUUAAUCUAACUCCACGCAGAGAAUCUCACCAGAAUCGACGGCAGGAUGAAGGACAAGCUAAAGACUUUUCUUGACGAGCCGAGAGGUAGUGCAUGGCCGCCGUCAGCUCGUGCCGUAAGGUGUCCUGUUAAGUCAGGUAACGAGCAAGACCUGUGUCUACAAUUGCCAGCGAGUGAUUUAUCAUGAUCGGGCAUAUUGUAGGGACUGCCUUGGAAACAAGGAGGAAGGUGCAGGCAACGGUAGGUCUGUAUGCUCCGAAUAUUCUGGGCUACACGCGCGCAACAAUGGUAACCACCAUAGGAUGCAACACCGAAAGGUGAAGCUAAACCUCGAAACCUUAUCUUAGUCCAAAUUGAGGUUUGUAACCCAAGCCUCAUGACGCUGAAUCCCUUAACCGGGGU
rnacentral:rRNA from 1 species